CAGGUCCUACGAGGAACUGGACUGUUCCAUUUGCUGGCUGUUGGAGAUGUUUGUUUGCAGGCCAGGACAUAGAGCCCUGCACGAACAUUCCAGCUCCGAGGAGCAGUACACAUAGAGGCCCUGAGGUUUCCAAUUGAUUGAGCACCACUGAGCAUCUCCACUGCUCUGCCAUGAUGCCGCCUCCUCCUGCUGGGUCCUGACUCAGCAUUGAGCUCCACCACCCACUCCUUGGGCAUGGAUUUCUUUCUCUCUGUCUUGUCCUGUCCCUUGGAUUGAAUGAAAUCAUUCAGAAAGGCAGGAAGGAAAAUGGAUAUGUGGUUAUUUUUGAUUCAGUGCUAGAACUUACAUAUGAAAUUAUAGAAAUAAUUUAAGACCUGGGUUGAUAAUGAUCAUGGUAUUCCUCCAGAGAAACGCUAUGUUUUACUUCUACAGGUUCUGUUGUAAUAGAAUAAAAGGACAA